GGGGAUAUAGCUCAGUGGCAUAAGCACCUGCCUUGCAAGCAGGUGGUCGUGAGUUCGAUCCCUGGUACCG
rnacentral:tRNA from 1 species